rnacentral:rRNA from 1 species
GGGGAUGUUUGAGGCAGAUUUGUUUCCGUCGUUUUGAGGCCAGCUUGCUGGUACCCAAACGGUGUUAGCAUUUUUUGUCUUGGGCAUUUGAGUAUGGCUCACGUGUAUUUAUUGGACAGAUCUGAGUGUAAGUUACGGUCGCAUGCGACACGUGCUUUUCAAUUAGUUCGGUCCAGUUAAUGCUCUCGUACUCGUUUCCCAUGUAAAAGCCGGUCAUCUAUCCGACCCGUCUUGAAACACGGACCAAGGAGUUUAUCGUGUGCGCAAGUUUUUGGGUGUUAAAAACUUAAAAGCGAAAUGAAAGUAAAUGACUCUUUAGAGUCUGAUGUGCGAUCUUGUAAAAAAGUGUAGCAUGGCCCCAUUCUAACUGUUUACAGUAGGGUGGCGGAAGAGCGUACGCGGUGAGACCCGAAAGAUGGUGAACUAUUCCUGAGCAGGACGAAGCCAGAGGAAACUCUGGUGGAAGUCCGAAGCGGUU